AUGGCUCAGAUUGAACGCUGGCGGCAGGCCUAACACAUGCAAGUCGAACGGUAACAGGAAACAGCUUGCUGUUUCGCUGACGAGUGGCGGACGGGUGAGUAAUGUCUGGGAAACUGCCUAAUGGAGGGGGAUAACUACUGGAAACGGUAGCUAAUACCGCAUAACGUCGCAAGACCAAAGAGGGGGGACCCUCGGGCCUCUUGCCAUCGGAUGUGCCCAGAUGGGAUUAGCUUGUUGGUGGGGUAACGGCUCACCAAGGCGACGAUCCCUAGCUGGUCUGAGAGGAUGACCAGCCACACUGGAACUGAGACACGGUCCAGACUCCUACGGGAGGCAGCAGUGGGGAAUAUUGCACAAUGGGCGCAAGCCUGAUGCAGCCAUGCCGCGUGUAUGAAGAAGGCCUUCGGGUUGUAAAGUACUUUCAGCGGGGAGGAAGGGAGUAAAGUUAAUACCUUUGCUCAUUGACGUUACCCGCAGAAGAAGCACCGGCUAACUCCGUG
rnacentral:rRNA from 1 species